rnacentral:misc_RNA from 1 species
UUUCAAUGUUGAGUUUCUUAAGGGGUACUCCACAACCAGAAAUUUGUGGGCAAGUCUUUAGAUAACUGGGCUAUGGUGUUCUUGAUCCAACAAAUUUUCUAGGUGGUUUGGAGAGGUCUCAAGACUCUUGGGCCUCUGUACAGAUCCUUUCAUGUUUCUUCAUACAACCACUCUGCCUGCCAAAUCAACAGACGCCUUGGGUUGUGGAUUUGAUCAAGAGGCUCUCGAAAAAUGUGAGAACUGAGAAGGAAAGAGCAGAAAAGACCAGAACUAUUUUUUGCGCAGAAAAUAUGAGAGCCACAACAAUUCAAUAAUUCAGAUGGGGAUAAGGGUUCAAGAAUUUGUUUCCACAAAAAAAAAAAGUAAAAUUUUGAUGGAGAAUUAAAAACAAAAAUGUCAACUUCUUGC